rnacentral:rRNA from 1 species
CGGGUGAGUAACGCGUGGAUAACCUGCCUCACACUGGGGGAUAACAGUUAGAAAUGACUGCUAAUACCGCAUGAGCGCACAGUACCGCAUGGUACGGUGUGAAAAACUCCGGUGGUGUGAGAUGGAUCCGCGUCUGAUUAGCCAGUUGGCGGGGUAACGGCCCACCAAAGCGACGAUCAGUAGCCGACCUGAGAGGGUGACCGGCCGCAUUGGGACUGAGACACGGCCCAA